AUUGAACGCUGGCGGCAUGCUUUACACAUGCAAGUCGAACGGCAGCGCGGGCUUCGGCCUGGCGGCGAGUGGCGAACGGGUGAGUAAUGCAUCGGAACGUGCCCAGUAGUGGGGGAUAGCCCGGCGAAAGCCGGAUUAAUACCGCAUACGACCUGAGGGUGAAAGCGGGGGACCGAAAGGCCUCGCGCUAUUGGAGCGGCCGAUGUCGGAUUAGCUAGUUGGUGGGGUAAAGGCUUACCAAGGCGACGAUCCGUAGCUGGUCUGAGAGGACGACCAGCCACACUGGGACUGAGACACGGCCCAGACUCCUACGGGAGGCAGCAGUAGGGAAUUUUGGACAAUGGGGGCAACCCUGAUCCAGCCAUGCCGCGUGCGGGAAGAAGGCCUUCGGGUUGUAAACCGCUUUUGUUCGGGAAGAAAUCCUCUGGGCUAAUACCCCGGGGGGAUGACGGUACCGGAAGAAUAAGCACCGGCUAACUACGUG
rnacentral:rRNA from 1 species